AGGGUGCGUACGCGGACUAAUUAUGCAGCGGUGAAAUUUUGCGGGUCAACCGUAAAACUGCCGUUGAAACUGUUAGUCUUGAGUGCGGUAGAGGUAGGCGGAAUGUGUGGUGUAGCGGUGAAAUGCUUAGAUAUCACACAGAACACCGAUUGCGUAGGCAGCUUACUGGAGCGCAACUGACGCUGAGGCACGAAAGCGUGGGGAUCGAACAGGAUUAAAUACCCUGGUGGUCCACGCUGUAAACGAUGAUCACUAGCUAUCGGCGAUAUACAGUCGGUGGCACAGCGAAAGCGUUAAGUGAUCCACCUGGGGAGUACGCCGGCAACGGUGAAACUCAAAGGAAUUGACGGGGGCCCGCACAAGCGGAGGAACAUGUGGUUUAAUUCGAUGAUACGCGAGGAACCUUACCCGGGCUUGAAAUGCAGAGGAAUAACGGUGAAAGUCGUUAGCCAGCAAUGGUCUCUGUGUAGGUGCUGCAUGGUUGUCGUCAGCUCGUGCCGUGAGGUGUCGGCUUAAGUGCCAUAACGAGCGCAACCCUUACCAUUAGUUACUAACGGGUUAUGCCGAGGACUCUAAUGGGACUGCCACCGUAAGGGUGUGAGGAAGGUGGGGAUGACGUCAAAUCAGCACGGCCCUUACGUCCGGGGCGACACACGUGUUACAAUGGGCGGCACAGAGGGCAGCGACUCCGCGAGGGGAAGCAAAUCUCAAAAAGCCGUUCUCAGUUCGGAUUGGAGUCUGCAACUCGACUCCAUGAAGCUGGAUUCGCUAGUAAUCGCGCAUCAGC
rnacentral:rRNA from 1 species